GUUAAAUAAUACUAACAGCUGCUGACAUUGCCUUUUGAGUUCUCUACUAAAAGCAACAAUGGCGGCUGCAACAGUGAGGGUAUCAGCAAACAACACUAUAACAGCUUCACUCAUAUCGAAAAGUCCUCUCCAAAAGCCCAGCAUUUUCAACCUUUGCUUCCGUAAUGGAGGUGCUGCUGCACAAAGGAGGCGACUUUUCAGUUGCAGUGCUAUUUACAAUCCCCAGAUUCAAAUCAAACAACACGGACAGCCUGAAACCUUAGAUUAUCGUGUAUUUUUUGCGGAAGAUUCCGGCAAAAAGGUAUCUCCUUGGCAUGAUAUACCACUUCAUUUAGGUGAUGGUGUUUUCAAUUUCAUUGCUGAAAUUCCCAAAGAAUCAAGUGCUAAGAUGGAAGUUGCUACGGAUGAGCAGUACACACCAAUUAAACAAGACACAAAGAAGGGGAAACUUAGAUACUAUCCAUAUAAUAUUCACUGGAACUAUGGAUUGCUUCCUCAAACCUGGGAAGACCCUUCAUUGGCAAAUGCUGAAGUUGAGGGGGCAUUUGGAGAUAAUGACCCUGUUGAUGUUGUCGAGAUUGGGGAAAGCCGUGCUAAAAUUGGCCAGGUCUUGAAGGUCAAACUUUAGCUGCUUUGGCAAUGAUUGAUGAAGGAGAACUUGACUGGAAAAUAGUUGCUAUAUCUCUAGAUGAUCCCCAAGCUUCACUUGUCAAUGAUAUUGAUGAUGUGGAGAAGCAUUUCCCGGGCACUCUGACAGCUAUCAGGAACUGGUUUAGAGACUAUAAGAUUCCUGAUGGGAAGCCUGCAAAUAAGUUUGGACUUGGGAACAAGCCAGCUAACAAGGAUUAUGCACUUAAGGUUAUUAUGGAAACCAACGAGUCUUGGGCAAAGCUUGUCAAGAGAUCCAUUCCUGCUGGUGAUCUUUCACUUAUAUAGCUGCCAAUUGACAAAGCUUGAACAGCUAGUUUUGUUGCUUGUUAACUGAACUGGUAGCAAUUCUUUCUCCGUCCUCAUGUCUGAUGUGUAAAUGAGUUCACAUUCUUUAAGUUUAUUCAGCACAAGAAGAUGCUACUUUUUCAUCCGUAUUUUCUGCAUGGAAAUGACUUUUAAAGCUAUGUAAGCGGAAAAAAGAUUUAAAUAUAUCUGAAUUGAUCUUUGUUCUUCAA